CCCCCCAGUGCUUCCCAUUUCUUCCCAGCAUCCCUAGUUUCAGCCCCAUGGCUGCCUGUGUUUGCAGAGAGGCUGCUCCCAGUCCCUCCCAGUCACCCCAGUCCCCUUCCAGUUCCUCCCAGUUCCCCCCAGUGCUUCCCAUUUCUUCCCAGUAUCCCUAGUUUCAGCCCCAUGGCUGCCUGUAUUUGCAGAGAGGCUGCUCCCAGUCCCUCCCAGUCGCCCCAGUCCCCUUCCAGUUCCUCCCAGUUCCCCCCAGUGCUUCCCAUUUCUUCCCAGUAUCCCUAGUUUCAGCCCCAUGGCUGCCUGUGUUUGCAGAGAGGCUGCUCCCAGUCCCUCCCAGGUCCUCUCCAUCCUUCCCAGUCCCUCCCAGUUCCCCCAGUUCCCCCUCCCAGUCCGGAGGUGACGUCCCCGCCACCUCAGGGCCCUGGGUGCUUCCGGGCGGAAGAAGCCUCUCUGAGGGACCCAAGC